GAGAGUGGAAUUUCGUGUGUAGGGGUGAAAUCCGUAGAUCUACGAAGGAACGCCAAAAGCGAAGGCAGCUCUC
rnacentral:rRNA from 2 species